GACGAACGCUGGCGGCGCGCUUAACACAUGCAAGUCGAACGGAAAGGCCUGCUUUCCCUUGUGGAUUGCGGGUACUCGAGUGGCGAACGGGUGAGUAACACGUGAGUGAUCUGCCCCCAACUUGGGUAUAAGCCUGGGAAACUGGGUCUAAUUCCCGAUAGGACUGCAGGGUGGUGCCUGUGGUGGAAAACGAUUUUCUAGUGGUUGGGGAUGAGCUCGCGGCCCAUCAGCUUGUUGGUGGGGUAAUGGCCUACCAAGGCGGCGACGGGUAGCCGGCCUGAGAGGGUGGACGGCGACAUUGGGACUGGGAUACGGCCCAGACUCCUACGGGAGGCAGCAGUGGGGAAUAUUGCACAAUGGGCGGAAGCCUGAGGCAGCGACGCCGCGUGGGGGAUGACGGCCUUCGGGUUGUAAACUCCUUUCGACCGCGAGGAAGCCACCUGGUUGGAAGGGUGGUGACGGUAGUGGUAGAAGAAGCACCGGCUAACUACGUG
rnacentral:rRNA from 1 species